ACAAAACAUUCAUGAAUAAAUUAGAGAGAGUGAAAAUAAAAUUUAAAUUGUUACAUUUAGUAAAAGGCUAAUUCACAACCCAAAAGAAUGGUUUAAGAUAAUUGAUUCAGUUUGAAGCAAGAUAUUCUAGGUCAAAUUGCAUUAUUGUAAAUUAAAGUUGAUACCCCAUCAACUACUUAAAAGCCGGGAUUUUAUCCAAAUGCUUAUUGGUGCGGGUCGGUAGCGCCCAACGCCAACUGUCCUAGUAACUGCCCUAGUAAACGUCUUAUUUUCGCCAGGCGUCAAAAAUUCAAGUAUCUUGGCGAUAUGUUGGAUAGUGAAGCAAAAACAACGACAGCAAUUAAAUACAGGAUACAGGCUGGAAACCGAGCCUAUUACACAAACCUGAAGAUGCUAAAGAGCAAACUGUUGUCCAGGAGGACAAAGAUGCAAAUUUACAAAAUGUUAAUAAGACCAGUAGUAACGUAUGGUGGUGAAACCUGGACCAUGACAGAAGGGGACCAGCAAAUGCUGAGGCGAUUAGAACGGAAAAUUAUUCGAAGAAUUUAUGGAGCGGUGAAAAUCAAUGAAGAGUGGCGAAUUAGAAACAAUAGAGAAAUAGAAAUGAUCCUAGAAAAUGAAGAUACAGUAAGGUUUAUCAAAUCGCAAAGGAUAAGCUGACUUGGUCAUGUACAAAGAAUGGAAGAAGAAAGGAUGCCGAAGAAGGUGCUGCAAGCUAAAAUAUUGUCAGCAAGAGAGAGAGGAAGACCUGGGCUUCGGUGGCUAGACGGAGUUGAGCAAGACCUGAAGAAAAUGCAAAUAAAAGGAUGGAGUGAAAAAAUCAAAGAUAGAGGGAUGUGGAGAGGAAUCGUUAUGGAGGCCAAAGCCCACCCAGGGCUGUAGCGCCCUUAGUAAUGCUGCAAUCUUUGCGAGGGAAAAGGAAUCGUGACUUUCAAUAACGGAGCGCACCUAAGAUCUUGGAUGCAAAGAUACAUUUCGAUGUAGGGCCGGACUGGCUCACAUCUGAGGGUGUGGAGAACCCUUGGCCGGUUUAGGGGUUGUAAAGGCAGAUCAGCACAAUUUUACACUAUUUUCAGGUUCAAAGUUAACUAAUCUUACAGAGUAAAACUUGGAAAAAUUGACCGUAUUAAAUAAUCUCGAGUAACCUCAAAAGGCUUGUGAAAUGAAAAAAAAAAUCCAUUAAAUCGCAGCUGUUAGACACAACAAGUACCAUUAUUUCCAGAGGAACCGAGCCUCAGCUGGCGAUCUAAGAUACUGCUUUUAAAGACUAGAAGUCUGAAAAUAAUGUACCCAAGAAACAUGUUAACUUCCCUCUCGAAUUUGGGCGACAUGCAUUAGUAGCAUAUAGCGGAGCAUUGAGAGCUUACACCUUGCGGUAUCACGCCUUCAAUUUUUCAAAUGCAGCAUGGACAUCCAUCAAGUACGAAUAGUUGUAUCUCUGCGCCGUCACUAACGCGCGUCCUUUCUUUUGCUCUACUUCCAUAUUCUGUUUGAUUCCGUUUGUCUAAUUCGUAGUAGUGUUUCAAGGGUUACGUGAGUAACACAGCCGAGAGAUAGGAAAGACGUAAUCCAGCCUCAUUUUUUAUUUAACUUUUCUCCUGAAUCCGAACGAUACCUUAUUGGCAACAUUGAGCGGAGCUGCGGAGUAUCGAGAGUUUACGCCUCGCGCCAUCGCGCCUUCAAUUGUGCAGAUGCAACACGGACAUCCAUCAAGCACUAAUAGUUGUAUCUCGGCGCCGUCAUCAACGCGCAUCCUAUCCCUUGCUCUAUUUCUCUUUUGUGUUGGUUUAUGAUUUCAUUUGUCUCGCAAACGAAAAACAUACUACAACUGGAUCACAAAAGGAGCCAGCGUGAUUAUACCGUUUUCAAAAUC